AAAUUUUUUAAUAAGCUCUAUAACGGAAAAGGCAGUCGAGUAUAUCGUCAGAUAAAUCAUCAAUUCACCACUUUUGGACAUCAGCUUACUCGGGGCUUUCCAAUCCUACACGUCUAGCAGCAAGCUUUACUUUUUCAAGUUCAUUUACAUUUGCUAACGGAUGAUGGCGAUUAAAUAACAGUUCAUGUUGAUUUCCCGAUUUCAAAAAUGCAACCACCUCUUGAAAUUUUGAUAGCUGCUCAACCUUGUUAUUUCUAAGACAAGCUUUGGUAUAUACUAAGAAGUCUUUUUGGGUCUUAGUGAAUCCUUUCUUUUGUUUGAGGGUACUGGUCUUAUAUAUUACAUUCUGAAGACUAUUAAUGCUUCGCCCCAUACUUCAAAAUACUUACCAUCUCGCGCAAUUGACGCAAAAGUGACCGAUAAACAGUAGUAGGAGUACUCAUCGUUUAAAUUAUCUUCUCUUUAUGGAUCUAAGGUUGGUAUUAUACCUACAAAAUCCUUAUGAAUGAUUGCGCGUUUAGAGAGAGGUGUUUCUUGUAGUUGCUAAUGAAUCCACUAACUUCAUUAUAGAACAACGAACAAGUAGCUUAAAGCAAGAGAACAAUUACUAUUAUUGGUGUCAUUUAAUAAAUGUUUAAAGAAGUUAAAGCCAACAAAAAUAUAUAUUCAUUCAUUAUUUACAAAAGACGUUGAACUCAGAACAUAUAUUCCGAUUUCAUUAAAUAUAGAUUUUUUUUCUAAUUCAUCGUAUAAACCAAUCUAGAAUACUAAAUCAAAAUUGCACA